UGGUUAAUUCCGUUAACGAACGAGACCCCCGCCUGCUAAAUAGCGGGGCUUACGCGCUCGCGUAGGUGCCAGCUACUUAGAGGGACUUUCGGUGACUAACCGAAGGAAGUUGGGGGCAAUAACAGGUCUGUGAUGCCCUUAGAUGUCCUGGGCCGCACGCGCGCUACACUGAUGCAUGCAACGAGUGCCAACGCUCCUGGGUCGAGAGGCCCGGGUAACCUGUUGAACGUGCAUCGUGAUAGGGAUAGAUCUUUGCAAUUAUCGAUCUUGAACGAGGAAUUCCUAGUAAACGCGAGUCAUCAGCUCGCAUUGAUUACGUCCCUGCCCUUUGUACACACCGCCCGUCGCACCUACCGAUUGAAUGUUUCGGUGAAGAUUCCGGAUCGUGUCUGGCGCGCUUCACGGCGCGCUGGCCGUGGGAAGUUAUCUAAACCUCAAC
rnacentral:rRNA from 1 species